AAAUCGAGCUGAGACUCGCCGUUGCGCCGCUGCAACUCGCCAAGCCAGGGCCCCGGCCGCGCUCGCUCUCGUUCGCGCACGCGCAACACGCCGGCCCCACGACGGGACCGCGCACUGCCGCCGACACCACGCCGUGCCGCCCAUCGCUGUGUCCCCACCUCGCCCACGCUGCUGCCGCGUCCUCGCCGGCUUUGCCGCCUCGACGCGCGCGCGCUUCAACGCUGCCGCUGUGCACGUUGACGCCGAGCUGCCACGCCGUCAUCCUUGCCGCUGUCCGCCUCGCCUAUAAAAAGGAGCGAGGCCGUGCCGAAGUCCGUCACCAGCACAAGCUCAGCCAGCACAAGCUCAGCGAGCCGCCUCGCUUCGCUAGCUGAACCACUCCUCACAAGCCCAGCUAGAUCACUCUAUCUCUCUGCUCCACUCUCGGGACGAAGCUCCAGUGGUUGACUCUCUUCCUUGAGCUGUUAUGCACCAAGUGAGAUGACAGCCAGCUUCCCCAUCCCGAGCCCAGAAAGCUACGGCCAUGGUUGCCACGCGGCCGAAGCCGACCUGCACCGCCCAUGCUCGAAGUCACCAAAAUGGAAUCCCCUCGCCCUCCUCUCUCUCCCCAUAUGCUCAGUUUUCCGUAUGGUAACCCGAGCUGCCGUGCGGCAAGCUCCCAAGAGCUCGGCAUGCCGAUGCAUGGGGAAGGCAAGGAGCACGAAGCCCCUGUAUCCUGCAUGCACGUGUUCCCUCUGUUCCUUCUUCCCAAGGCCAAAACAAUAAUCAAAUCUAAAACCCAAAUGCUAGCCCCAAAGCCCAAACCAAGAGCCCAGCAAACACCACGUGAUGCUCCUCCCGUUAUGUUAAUUUAUUUUCGGAAUUAAUUAAACACCCAAUAUUACAACUAUAACAUCUCAUCCAUCCAAACUCUGAUUCCAUUGAUUCUUUUUCCUAAAUUCUUCUAGAAUCAUAUAUUAUCUACUCCUCCUAUUUUCAUCUCCAAUUGAGCUCAUUUUAUUUUAUGGUUGUGCUUGCUUGUGUUUAUUUGCCGGUGGUGUCGUUCCUGUCCGUAGGUGACGGAGUGAUCGAGGAGGAGCGCGCUGAGGAGCACGAAGACCAGUACCGCGAGCCGGAGCCAGAAGACCCGUACCACGAUCAGGAAGCUGCCGACGCAGGAUCCCGACUUUGUGCCGGAAGACUACGAGUAGAGCGUGUCCGCACCCAAGCUGAUCGAGUGGAGCCGUGAUGGAUGAAGAGCUAGUCCUACAUAUCGUUAUGAUAGUUGUUAUCCUAUGGUUGUUCUGUGUAGGUUUGUGUUGUCACCUUACUUCUCGUGUACGUAUUAAAUAAAAGCUCUGUAUGACUCUGGACUCCACUUGAUGUAACAUGUAUUGUGCCGGAGACUUAAUUUGGUAAUUAAUACAGGGUUUAGCCUU